GAUGAACGCUAGCGGCAGGCCUAAUACAUGCAAGUCGGACGGGAUUGGGGAGCUUGCUCCCCAUGAGAGUGGCGCACGGGUGCGUAACACGUAUGUAACCUACCCUUGUCAGGGGGAUAGCCUCUCGAAAGAGAGAUUAACACCGCAUAACAUUAUUGGAUGGCAUCAUUUAAUAAUCAAAUAUUUAUAGGACAAGGAUGGGCAUGCGGGACAUUAGCUAGUUGGUAGGGUAACGGCUUACCUAGGCUACGAUGUCUAGGGGAUCUGAGAGGAUGGCACCCCACACUGGUACUGAGAAACGGACCAGACUCCUACGGGAGGCAGCAGUAAGGAAUAUUGGUCAAUGGGCGCAAGCCUGAACCAGCCGUGCCGCGUGCAGGAAGACGGCCCUACGGGUUGUAAACUGCUCUUGCGCCGGAAUAAACCCUUUUACGAGUAAGAGGCUGAAUGUACCGUAAGAAUAAGGAUCGGCUAACUCCGUGCCAGCCGCCGCCGUAA
rnacentral:rRNA from 1 species